CAGGACUCGCAAGACUCCUACAACCCUGUGAACCUACUAUACGAACGUUGCUUCGGCGGGUGCGCCCCGGGGAUUCGUUCCCGAGGCGCGUCAGCCCGCCGGCAGCCUACAAAUUCUGUUCCUUUGCGUUGGCAUCUCGAGAAAAAACAAAUAAGUUA
rnacentral:misc_RNA from 1 species